ensembl:lncRNA
GCUAGAAAUAGCAUUGCAAGACCAAAACCAAAACCAUGACCAAAAACAGCAUAAUAUAAGAUGUAAUUGACUAGAUUUAUGGCCUUAUUAGCCUUUUUAAUGCAGCCAAGUCUUUGUUAUUGAAUUUUUUCUCUGACUGUACAAAACAUGCAGUUUUAUUAAGGAACUUUACACAUGUCAUUUAGAUUAAAAGAGAUUUUUUCACAGGUAUUCCAAACAGAGGGUUCGCAGAUGAUGGCAGAUCUCAACACACCUCUGUUCACACCACCUUAGCCCAGCAUGGAUAAGAAAUGUGUUUUAGAGAAUGUGGAAAAUAAAUACAGAGAAUUCAUAGCUGAGACCCUGCACUGCCUAAUUAAGCUCAAGAGAGAUCUCUUAAGCAGCCUAUUAACCUUGGACAAAAACUCAGCCUAUCCUCCCCCAAACAUCUCUGAAGACUUACGGACAGUGAUGAGGGUCAAAAAGUUUUGACCACUGGUCUCAGGUGGUCUCCUGUCAGAUUUUUUCUUCAGGAACCCAUUACUGGGAGCUGGAGGUGGAGGGAUUCUGGGAUAUAGCAGUGAACUACAGCUAUAUCCCUAUACAGCAGUGGGAGGAAAUCAAAAGAGGGCACAGACUUUGGCUGCAACAAGAUAGAUUGUUAACCUAAUACACAAACUUUUUUAAUACCAAAUAUGAUGAUCUCUCUGCAAAUGACUUCUUAAAAUAUAAAUGCACCCAUAUAUGUUCAUGUAUAAAGACUCAUUUUUACUGUGAAAAAAAAAAUUACACAAUGUUUCACAAUGUUAAAUCAAAUUAUAUAAAAACAGAAUUUUUUAUUAUUCUAGUCAUAUCGUACCAGAUGCCUGGCCCAUUGUAUAUUUUAAUCCAUUAUGUUCUGUGCAUUAUGAUUUUCUGUUAUCUUACCCA